UUUGAUCCUGGCUCAGGAUGAACGCUGGCGGCGUGCCUAACACAUGCAAGUCGAACGGGAAUCUUCGGAUUCUAGUGGCGGACGGGUGAGUAACGCGUAAGAAUCUAACUUCAGGACGGGGACAACAGUUGGAAACGACUGCUAAUACCCGAUGUGCCGCAAGGUGAAACCUAAUUGGCCUGAAGAAGAGCUUGCGUCUGAUUAGCUAGUUGGUGGGGUAAAGGCCUACCAAGGCGACGAUCAGUAGCUGGUCUGAGAGGAUGAGCAGCCACACUGGGACUGAGACACGGCCCAGACUCCUACGGGAGGCAGCAGUGGGGAAUUUUCCGCAAUGGGCGAAAGCCUGACGGAGCAACGCCGCGUGAGGGAGGAAGGUCUUUGGAUUGUAAACCUCUU
rnacentral:rRNA from 1 species